rnacentral:rRNA from 1 species
CCCCUUUACAAGUAUCAAUUGGAGGGCAAGUCUGGUGCCAGCAGCCGCGGUAAUUCCUGCUCCAAUAGCGUAUAUUAAAGUUGUUGCAGUUAAAAAGCUCGUAGUUGGAUUUCUGUUAAUACCUUAUAUAUAAUAUUUUUUUUUUAAAUACUAAUAUGUAAGAAUAACAUAAUUCAUAUUUUUAAGACUGAAUUUUUAGUUUUGAUAAUAUGAAAUUUUACUUUGAGAAAAUUAGAGUGCUUAAAGCAGGCUUUUGCCUUGAAU